GCGGAGCUAGAGGGGGGGCCGGGGGGGCCAGUGCCCCCCCAGCCAUCUGAUUGGCCCCCCCAGCGGCCCCCCCAAAUGAUCGACAUGUCACGACACCCAGUCAUUCCUUCACAGUAGGUAGCACUAUGUACCACAAUGGGUUGUGACACUUGUGACUGUUGUGACUGCUCAAAAGCAGCAGGGGGCGAUAUGCACCAUUUACGUUUAUUGUGAUACACCAUUUGGACACAACAGAGUUGACCCAACAGAAGAAGAGAAGGAGAACCGCGAAGAGACGAUAGAGAAAUAUUGUACAGCUAAGAGGAAUACAGUCGAUUUGACUCCAAGACGGAUAAUCUGACUUCAAAGUUCCAUCAAAGGAGGAGUCUGAAAACACAGAAAGCUCUGCGCCUGACCAGGAUGAUGAUGAGCCAGAAGGGGCAAUUGCAGGAGAUACCACUGAUCUCUUCUCAGCAGUGUCCAGCACUCCUUUUGCUUUUCCAAAAGGACCCAGUGAUAUUUCAAAGUCAAAAGAACAGGGCCCUGUUCAGCCAAGUUUGACAAACUUCCCCAGAACUCAGCAUGGAACAAGAAAGAGAACUUUUCACAGCUCCUGGUACAAAGACUAUUCUUGGUUAGAAUAUUCUGUUAUUAAAGACUCCUCCUACUG